AGAUUAUAUUGUUGUGAAGGAAGGCAUUCCAUUGAAGAGAGAUGAAUAACCAAAAUAAAAGAAGUGAAAUUUUUUAGGAGACACUCGUGUGCGGUGAUUACAUUGGGGUCGGUGCCCACUUUUACCAAAGCCAGUCAUCAAAUAAAGUAAGUUAAAUCAUCUCUUCAUGCAUGUCAUUAAAGAUGUAAAAUAAUAAUCAAUGAAUUGCACUUUGCUUUACACACAGCCUGCUUCAAAUUGAAGCCAUAUAUAUGGUUUAAAGGUUUUGCUCUAUUGCAUAACUAUGCUCUUUUUUCCUUUUCUUUUUUAAUAUUGCAGUUAUUAACACUCCUUCUCAUGCGUAAAUUGGAAUAUAAUAGGAAGUUAAUUUAGUUUCUUUUCAACUGAUCUCUCUUGCAGUUCUUUCUGAUUUCAUGAAUUGUCUGUGAAUAUGGGGAUGUUAGGUUGUGAUUUUCUGUUUGUUCUAUGAAUUAAAAAAAAAGGUUUUUCUUCACUGUCAACUAUGUGUUGUAGUUUGCUUUUUUUUUUUUUUAAAGAAAAAUUGGUGUGAACAUUUGAACAUAUGAAAAACAUUAGUGAAAUUAAAUGUGACAAACUUAUGAAUGGGGUAGUUUGGGAGGUAUAAUUUGGUUGGAGAGAAUUAGAGAAACAGUGGGAAAAAAAAAUCUAAAAAUGGCUAUGUUUGGAGGCCCCCCUCCUACUUCUCUUCUACUCCUAUUUUACAUUUUUCUCCCAAAAAACCACUUGGAUUUUCCCCCAUUUCCUUCCUUAUCACAUCAACAAAAUCACUGUCUUUGCCCUUUACUCGUUCCAAUUCCUAAAUAUUUGUCGUGGAGUAAUAUACAUCAAACGAUUAAAGCAAAACUAAGUAAUAUACAUCUAACACAUACCUAAUUUUAUUGAUAAAGUAUUUACUUUAUGAAACCAUAUGAAAUCAGUAUUUUCCUAAGGGAAAAUGAUAGCUUACUGGUCUGCUUGAUACUAACUACCCAACCAAAGAAAAGAACUAAACAUCCAUGUAGUACAUAUCUAUAGUUAUGUAAAGUUAAGAAAGUCAUAGAUUUAAUGGCUUGGUUUGGUAAGAGUUACAGAAGGAGGAAUGAAAAUCAAAUGGCUGUUUUGAGUUGAUUCCAGCCAGCCCCCAUUUUUAUAUUUUGCACAAAUUUUUUGUUUCAUGCCUUGAUUAUUGCAGAACUUCAGGAUCUAAAAAGAGAAGAAAUGUUGGGAGAGAGGCCAAGAAUGAUUGAAGUCAUAUCGGGUUGAAAGCUAAGUGAUCGUGUAGACAACCAGACAAUCGUUAAAGGUUGAAGACUGAGAAGACGUCUAAGAUUUCUUAUUUAAGUCAUGUAUUAGGAUCUUGUACUCUUGUAAAAUAUAUACAUAACACAAUAUUAAGAUUUCAUUUUGUGUAUACACAAGUAAAUGACAAAUAUUGUAGUUUCUAAAUUAAUAUUAAUUUUAUUGA